UUUUCUAUCAUGGAUGAAAUCGAAGACGCAAAAAGUAAUUUCUUUGAGUGUGAAGACAGUAUGGAUUGCCAUAUGGUUAACAAGUGUCUUGAAAUAGAAGACGUCGAAUUUAUAGCAGAUACUUCACAACGAUUCUGGGAAUUAUGUACCUUUGGAGGAAACGACUCCAAAAACGAAAAUAGCGUUAUUCGCCAAUCCGGAGGAGGGAUCAAAAGGAAAGCUGUGGAUAUUGCAGAUGCAGGACCAUCUAGUGCAGUUGAAAUUUCGGAAAAUUAUGAAGAAAAGAAAUUAUGCGAAGCUUGUAAUAUAUGGGUAAGACAACGAUAUUUUUCAAAUCAUUUGAAAAGUAAUAUUCACAAGAACAAAGUUAUAGAACACAACACCCAUGAAUUAAGUAAUGUUAGUUUAAUCAAUUCUGCGUUUGGAUGUCGAAUCCGCACUUACAGAAUAGGAUCAGAUAAUCAAGAGACUGAAUUCGAAACUCCUGAAAUA